GGAGUAUACAAUAUUGUCAUGGCUCUUGACUCACGACAAUGAUUCGUAUACGAUGGUUGGUAUACGUCAUGAGUGAUGAUUUGCCAUGAAGUAAAAAUAUUCUAUGCAUAGGAAUAUAGGAACCGGGCAUAGCUGAACCCGGAGUGAAGCCAUGUUCACCAUAUUACGUUGCCAUUGCGAAUUCAUGAGACCCCUAGACAUCUGUAUAGAAUCUAUAGUCUAUGGCUAAAUGCGCAUCCCCUAUUCGUUGGUUUCCGACAAGAACCUCAUUCAUUUAUUCUUAAAAGCAGUUUUCGGAGUAGUCUAGAGUUGCCGCAUAGCAGGGGCACCUCUGCGCCUACGAAAUGACAACCGAACCGACAAACCGGCUAGUAUAGGUUGCCGUAUAGCAGGGGCACCUCUGCGCCUACGAAAUGGCAACCGAACCGACAAACCGGCUAGUAUAGGUUGCCGCAUAACAGGGGCACAUCUGCGCCUACAAACUGGCAACCGAGCCGUUGAACCGGCUAGUAUACGUCGCCGCAUAGGAGGGGCACAUCCUUGGUGUCACUUAAUUUGUUUCACCAGUUACUGACAUGAACUUUUCAUUCACUUUUGGGCAAUUCAUGACACCUCCUCACACAUCGUAACAACUUCUGACGCAUCCUGACAACAUGUACACAUGAUAAGAUAUAAAUUUUAAGUUUUCAAAGUUAUGAGACGACCUAAACUAUUAUAAUAUUUUAUCAAAUCACCCUAAUUCUUCUGUAUCACUACAUCACAUGUUAUAAUAAAUAUAC